AAAAGAGAAGCAAACAUGGGAAUUCUGGGGACCGUGAAGACUACCAUUCUUCCCAGGCUUUUGAAUUUUUCCUGCUGCUGUCUGCUUUUGGGUCUAGGCUCCCAGCCCCAUGGGAGAGGCCAACCAGUCGAGAGUCUCUGAGUUCCUCCUC
rnacentral:lncRNA from 1 species